UACGUAGGUGGCAAGCGUUGUCCGGAUUUACUGGGCGUAAAGAGCGCGCAGGCGGUCGUUCAAGUCGGGUGUGAAAGCCCCCGGCUCAACUGGGGAGGGGCAUUCGAUACUGAUCGACUCGAAGGCAGGAGAGGGUAGUGGAAUUCCCGGUGUAGUGGUGAAAUGCGUAGAUAUCGGGAGGAACACCAGUGGCGAAGGCGACUACCUGGCCUGUUCUUGACGCUGAGGCGCGAAAGCUAGGGGAGCAAACGGG
rnacentral:rRNA from 1 species